AUUGAACGCUGGCGGCAGGCUUAACACAUGCAAGUCGAGCGGGGUGAUGGUGCUUGCACUAUCACUUAGCGGCGGACGGGUGAGUAAUGCUUAGGAAUCUGCCUAUUAGUGGGGGACAACAUCUCGAAAGGGAUGCUAAUACCGCAUACGUCCUACGGGAGAAAGCAGGGGAUCACUUGUGACCUUGCGCUAAUAGAUGAGCCUAAGUCGGAUUAGCUAGUUGGUGGGGUAAAGGCCUACCAAGGCGACGAUCUGUAGCGGGUCUGAGAGGAUGAUCCGCCACACUGGGACUGAGACACGGCCCAGACUCCUACGGGAGGCAGCAGUGGGGAAUAUUGGACAAUGGGCGGAAGCCUGAUCCAGCCAUGCCGCGUGUGUGAAGAAGGCCUUUUGGUUGUAAAGCACUUUAAGCGAGGAGGAGGCUCUUAAGGUUAAUACCCUUGAUGAGUGGACGUUACUCGCAGAAUAAGCACCGGCUAACUCUGUGCCAGCCGCCGCAGUAA
rnacentral:rRNA from 1 species